UCUCAUCAAAACCACUUGAAGUUCUGUCAUCUAUCAAAUUUAAAUAGAUAAUUUAAAUAAAGCUUUUUUUUAUUGUCACAUACACAUAUAUGUAGUGAAAUUCAUUCUCUACAUUUAACCCAUCCCACAAGGGAGCAGUGGGCAGCCAUUUACAGCGCCCGGGGACCAACUCCAGAUCUGGGCCAGUGCCUUGAUCAAGGGCACUGACUGGAGAACCUAGUACAUGUUUUUUGAUGGUGGGGGAAACCGGGGCACCUGGAGGAAAACCAUGCAAAGAUGGGGAGAACAUACAAACUCCACACAGAAAGGCCCGGAACAACCUCCAUUUGAACCCAUAACCUUCUUGUUGUGAAGCCACAGUGUUAACCACUGGGCCACCAUGCUGCAGUUGUUGAUGUUUAAAUGU